UGUGUAGUACCUUUUUGGUGAGUCCGGACACGCGGAGUGGGUGGGCCUCCCGGUAUGGCUGAAAUCCCGCCCAGAAAGGGCGGCCCCAUAGAAGCCCCGUCCAAUCAGGGCGAACAGUGACGUCGGCUUCACCAAGGCCCCUCCCCGCUGAGGGAGAUCUAUAAAUUACGACACCAUCCUCAGGGUAGGGGCUGAGAGAGUCGGAAGGUUCCUUGGUUGAGUGCUGAGACGGUGAGCGAGUGAGCUGGAAAGUGAUUCGUCUGGUGAGCUGGAAAGUGAGUCGUCUUGGGAGUGAGCUGGAAACCCUGAUCCCCACCUCAGACUCCGCUCUACUCCACCCGGGCUCUUUCUGCCACACGGUCUCCACACGAGCGGCCGUGGACCGAGCCGCACGACCAUUGACAGGUGCUGCACCACAGAGCACCCCCUUCUCUCCAAUGUUCAGGUGGUUGGAACUAGUGCAGAAUCUGGUACCAAUGGAUGUGGAUUGCACCUGCCCGGAGCUGCAAAGCUCUCCAACGCGUGAUGAGGCUUCACCAAUGCUGGAUCCUUGCCACCAGGAGCAGCCAACAGGUUCAAAAGGCCGACUGGAGGGUGCUUAUGUUCAGCCUCAGAGCACCAGCUAUUCUCAUGGCUCAGAGGUAGCCAAAGCAAGCACAAAACACCUUGGACCGCAGAUCGUGUGCCUUCCAACGGAGCAACCGCACAGUUGUUCCAAGUGCAGUGACUGUGGCCGGACUGAAGAGGAACCAUUGAAGCCUGGCUACAUGACAGAUUUCACGCAACCACCAACCCCAUUGCUUAGAACCACAGGUUGUGCAUCAUUGCUACUGGCUUGCUUAUGGUGCCAUUGCUUUGGCUAUCUUCUCAACGUACUACCGCCAUGCUGCCUCAUUCAGAUGGAGGUCGCCUGCAAGUCACUGGGGCUGGCUUGUCUCAGAUGCCCUUUUUUUGAGCUACAAACAGCAGUCAGCGAGCCAACCACCCCAGAGGACAUUCAUUGCCGUUGUAACGUUGACUGCUCAAGAUGCAAUGGCUGUGUGGAUUCCACUGAGCUUGUUGAUCUGUGUGUGGAAUGCUCAAGCUUUUGGCACCAUGGUUAAACAUCUCGAUUGCUUGUGUGGUCAGUUGCUGUAUUAGAGAAAGACAACAACUCUUUGCUGGGACACAGACUGCUGCUGCAGUGAUGUCAUCCCAUUGUUGCACAGGCCAAUACCAAAUAUUAACUUACUCCAGAAUCAAAAUCGAGACGCAAUAUUGCUACUCUGCAGACCAAGUUGAUUGAGACAAAAAAAUUAAAGCCACAGUAUUUGUUUCCACAUUAACAAAAAAUAAAAAUAAAUUGAAUGACUUACUAAUUGUUGUACAAUGAAGCAGAUGCAACAGCUCUCCUGUUGUGUCUGAACCAUCCAUAUUUUAAGUUGUUUGGUCUCAAGUCUGAGUCCAGCCAAAUCUACGAGUUCAAACCCAGAACUCCAAAAGUUUUGGGUUUGGUUACAAAAGUAAUAAAUACACCCUACUCGCAUGACCACUUCAAUUAUUUUGUGGUUGCAAGAAAGAGGUUUCACCCCCAAAGGGGCUUAAUUCGGUAAUUCAUUUUUUUACGAUUGUUCUAUUCUCCCCUUAACCGUUGCUCAAAGCUUAUGAAACAACUCAUAAUGCCAUUUAAGCUUCAUGUGCAUUAUUGUUAAGAACACGUUACUAUGUAUGUAAAAAAAAAAAAACAACACUUAUAGGUGUAACAGACAUAGCUUAUUUGGAAGACCAGGCACGAAAAUUAAAUAACAGAGAAUAACAUCUUUAAAAUAUUUACAAUGGCGAGUUGGAGAGAAUGAAGGUAAAUAAAGAUCUCCAAACUGAGAAGUCUCUAUCACAUCAGAAGGGAGUCAAAAAUGGACAUUUUUACAAUCAAAUUGUUAGUCGAUUGUUUUAGCUUUAGCUUGCAGGGGGAAAUCUUUAAUGUACUUGGAUUGACAAGCAGGCGAAUAAACAGCUAGACGAUAGAACUCAAGACAUCGAGUACUUGGACAACAAUGUAAUGUUUUCUAUCAGUCGAUGUGUUCUGGUCACCAUUUAUUUUCAAUAUCCUCCAAGUGUUCUUCACUCAUCGAAUUCAUCAUAAUUUAUGUUUUUUUUACUGAUCCGCAAGCAUCAUCAAGAGUAGCCAUAGGUGUCCUCACUGGAAGCCCACAGCCGCAAUAAAUCUGCGGCCACUCUGAUUAGAUUCCCCCAGAGAUUGAGUCGAAAAAAGGGAUAAAAAGUUUUUCAGGGUUCGGAAGGGAUGAGUGUAGGGAGGACUGCUCAUUCGUCGCCUGCCAGCUGAUGGAGCCGUAGUCUGAAGACUGGGGAAGUUGGAGGAGGUUUGCAGUGUAUAGGUCUUCCUCAUCAGGCAUUUUUCUUACAAUUAUUCUACCUCCACUGGUAUUCCCACGACAAGCACGUCUCCUUCACCAACUGAUCCACCGUUCAGACAUUAAAAGAACAAGGUUUAGGGUAAGAGGAGGAGGAGGGAGUAAAGAGAAGAGAAGGAGUAGUGAGGUUUUUGGUAGGAGGGUGACUAAAAACACUAUAAUUUUGUGAAGGUCAUUAAUAGGUGGCUCUUAAUAUUCCUGAUCAACUCUCGUACAUGACAUAUUUUGAUUUAAAAAUUGGACCAUUUAUCAUUUCCUUAUCUCCCCUUGCUUCCACAGUCAGGGAAAGAUUUCAUUCCUCACAAAGCCACGAAGGUCACCCCCACGCCACGUCCUAACACCAGCCAGUGGGGACAAGGAGGGCACGGUCCUCAAUGGCUCUGCAACGGCACACGUCUCAAGCCACUGUGGGUUUCAUAGUCGUUCAUUUCCUGUUUGCCUUUAAUCUCCAAAAAUAUUGCCUCGCACGAGAGUGUGAGAUAUUCAUUCGGUGAUGAGCUGUCUGGGGUUUUGCUGGAACUUUCUGUUAUACAUCAGCCUUUAAUGUUUUAGAGCGGCGGCUCAGCAUGGUGGCAUAAAAUAAAGCAC
rnacentral:lncRNA from 1 species